rnacentral:misc_RNA from 1 species
UUUCCGUAGGUGAACCUGCGGAAGGAUCAUCACUGCAUCCGUUCCUUUGCCACCCCUCUGUGGACGCAUUCGUGGCGCCUGACGGCGCCGCGUCAUUUCAUUUCAAAACACGAACGCGCUUUGAAAACCUCACAUAAUAGACACAACUUUUAACAACGGAUCUCUUGGUUCUC